rnacentral:rRNA from 1 species
GGAGGCAACAAGUUUCUGAUGAUGCAGAGGAGGGACCUCGUCACCAAGGGGGUCGCGCUCUCCGUCUGCUCCUCGCUGCUCGCCUCCUCCACUUCCAACGGCGCCGCUGCACAAGCAUUGGAGAGGCUGCCGUUCAAGGCGGACGGGUACAGCUUCUGGACGUGGAGGGGCCGCAAGAUACACUACGUGGAGCAAGGGUCCGGGCAGCCCAUCGUGCUCAUCCACGGCUUCGGCGCGUCGGCGUUCCACUGGAGGUACAACAUCCCGGAGCUGGCCAAGAAGUACAAGGUGUACGCCGUGGACCUGCUGGGCUUCGGCUGGAGCGAGAAGGCGCUGGUGCAGUACGACGCCACCAUCUGGAUGGAGCAGGUCUCCGACUUCCUCAGGGAGGUCGUCCAGUCGCCAUCCGUCGUCGUCGGCAACAGCUUAGGUGGCUUCACGACGCUGUUCGCCGCGACGGAGGUGCCGGAGCUGGUCCGGGGCGUCGUGCUGCUCAACUCCGCCGGCCAGUUCGGGGACCCCAACGCGCCGCCCAAGGCUGAAGAGGCGGCGGUGGCGGAGGAGGAGGCGAGCGCGGUGACGAGGCUCAUCGUGAGGCCGCUCAAGGAGGCCUUCCAGCGGGUCGUGCUCGGGUUCCUCUUCUGGCAGGCCAAGCAGCCGGCCAGGGUCGAGAAAGUCCUCAAAAGCGUGUACAAAGAUCCGAGCAACGUGGACGAGUACCUGAUCAGCUCGAUCACGGCGCCAACGGCCGACCCGAACGCCGGCGAGGUGUACUACAGGCUCAUGUCGCGGUUCGUGGCGAACCAGAGCCAGUACACGCUGGACAAGCUGCUGGGGAAGCUGACGUGCCCGCUGCUGCUGCUGUGGGGGGACCUGGACCCGUGGGUCGGCCCGUCCAAGGCGGCGCGGAUCCACGAGUUCUACGCCAACUCCACCGUCGUCAACCUGCAGGCCGGGCACUGCCCGCACGACGAGGCGCCGGAGCAGUUCAACGCGGCGCUGCUCCAGUGGCUCGCGUCACUGGAGGAGGAGGCCGGCGACAAGCCGGCCGAGCCCAGCCUCCAGGUCGUGUGA